UACCCUUAAGACGAGGAUAGCCAUUGGAAACGAUGGAUAAAACUGGAUAGGAUAUAGAGGAAGAAUCUUUUAUAUUUAAAAGAGAGAUCUGCUUAAGGAGGGGCCUGUGGCGCAUUAGCUAGUUGGUGGGGUAAGGGCCUACCAAGGCGAUGAUGCGUAGCCGGACUGAGAGGUUGAACGGCCACAAUGGAACUGAGAACGGUCCAUACUCCUACGGGAGGCAGCAGUAGGGAAUUUUCGGCAAUGGGGGGAACCCUGACCGAGCAACGCCGCGUGAACGAAGAAGUUAUUCGUAAUGUAAAGUUCUUUUAUCAGGGAAGAAAGAGGAAUUUGACGGUACCUGAGGAAUAAGCUCCGGCUAACUACGUGCCUGCAGCCGCGGUAAUACGUAGGGAGCGAGCGUUAUCCGGAAUUAUUGGGCGUAAAGGGUGCGUAGAUGGCAUAGUAAGUCUUUUGUAAAAAUGCUGGGCUCAACCCAGUAGGGCAAAAGAUACUGCAAAGCUAGAGUAUGACAGAGGCAAGUGGAACUACAUGUGUAGCGGUAAAAUGCGUAAAUAUAUGUAAGAACACCAGUGGCGAAGGCGGCUUGCUGGGUCGAUACUGACAUUGAGGCACGAAAGCGUGGGGAGCAAACAGGAUUAGAUACCCUGGUAGUCCACGCCCUAAACGAUGAGUACUAAGUGUUGGUGAGAAUCAGUGCUGAAGUUAACGCAUUAAGUACUCCGCCUGAGUAGUACGUACGCAAGUAUGAAACUUAAAGGAAUUGACGGGAGCCCGCACAA
rnacentral:rRNA from 1 species